UACGUAGGUGGCAAGCGUUAUCCGGAAUUACUGGGCGUAAAGCGCACGCAGGCGGUCUUUUAAGUUUGACGUGAAAGCUCCCGGCUUAACUGGGAGAGGUCGUUGAAGACUGGAAGACUUGAGGCAAUGAGAGGGGUGUAGAAUUCCCGGUGUAGUGGUGGAAUGCGUAGAUAGUCGGGGGGAAUACCAAUGGCGAAGGCAGCUCGCUGGGACGGUACUG
rnacentral:rRNA from 1 species